rnacentral:tRNA from 1 species
GGAGAGAUGGCUGAGUGGUUUAAGGCGCACGCUUGGAAAGUGUGUGUAUUUUUAAAGGUACCCAGGGUUCGAAUCCCUGUCUCUCCGCCA